CAGAAUCAAAAUCCCUAACUCACCUCCACCUCCACCGACAGCACUGCUCACCAGUCACCAGUCACCAGUCACCAGUCACCAGUCACCACAUUCAUCUCCACCUUCCACCUGCUUCCUCUGUCGUCGGCGCCCACCUGAUUUCCUCAACCGAGUCAGGUAAGAAAUAUCAUUUUCACUUUCUUUUUGUUUGGUCACUGAGAAAAUGAAGGAAAGUUUUGGUUCUGUUUUAUAUUCCCCUGCUUUAUUCACUCUGUUUAAAUACAAAAAAUGGGGAGAGGAGAUAGCUAAGUGCAUGACAUAAAUAGCAUAGAAAGGAAAUGGCAUGGGUUGAAACAUAAGUUCUUUUUUGUAGUUAAAUUGAUAAGUGAGAAUUAAUAAAACGAUAUUUUAAGAAAUAUGAUUUGAUUCAUGAAAAAGGUUGAAAUAUGGAUAGGUUUUUAAACAUCUUUGUUGGUUUGCUGGCUUCUUAUACAGCUUCCUUCAGAUUCGAAGAAAUGGGUAAUAAAAACAUAAAAUGAAUAAACAAAAAACACAAUACUAAAUUAUCUUUUGAGAUUAUAUUUAUGUUUUUUUGGGGUUUUUAAUAUUACUUUUAAUAAUUUUAGGUGUUAAAAGGGUGUUCUGUUCUUUCAAUGUAUGUUUUUUGGACACUAGCAUGAUCCAAAAAGUUGCCUCUCUUCAUAUAUAUAUAUAUGUAUAUAUUUUUUCCUUUAUUUUCCCUUCCUCUUACUUUCUUCUUAUUCUUCUUCUUUGUGCGCUAAUGAUUUUUUUAUCUGCUUCUGUGUCGGCCAAUGAGUAAUUUAUUGAUUGAAUCCUUGAAAGAAAUUGCACACCCAAAGAAGAUUCAUCAUUGUUUUCCUUCUUUUUUUCCCCUAGAUAUCCUCUUUGGGUCUUUAUAGGAGGAGAAUUUGGAGGAAGUUCUGAUUACAGGAACUUUGUGUGUUGUUAGUUGCUCAGAGUUUUUGGGGUUUCUUUAUGGGGUCAAAGAGACUGUAAGAUUAGUAGAGAACUCUUUUUUUUGGGGUGUGUACGUUUAGUUUCUGGGUUUCUUUUUUCCCUGUUUUUAAUGAAUCUUAAUUUUUGUAGUAAAGUUUUGAUGGUGAACUCAAAACAUGGUGAAUUGAACAGUUGUCUCUUUUCUUUUCUUUUUUUCUCUCUUUUAGUUUCUGAUUUUUUUACCAUUAUUUUAUGUUGAAAAUUUGCAAAAGUACAAAUGUUUGUACCCUUUUUUGGAAGUAUUAUGGGUAGCAAUAAAGAAAAGUAAUCAGGAGAGGAAUCGGGUGCCUGAUUACAGUGUUGCUCAAUAAUUUGAAGCCAUUGUGGGAGAGGAUGGAACCAACUAAGGAAAGUAAAGAAAUUUUGUUGUUCUGGUUCAAUGUUUCCUUUAAUGGCUUUUUUUAAGUAAUAAAGGAUAUCAUGGGUGUCGAACUGUAUGGCAAUAUGGUAGAGAUGGUUGAAGUACCAUAAAAAUCAUUUUAAUUCAUUUGGUUGUUUAACAAAUCUAAACCUUAUUGGGUGUACGAAAGGAUAAUACGGAUAAAUACCCCAAGGUUUAAGAAUAAGUCCCCCAAAAUUCUUGAAAACUUGAAUCUGAUACUCAAACAUCAUGUCUCUAGCUUUCUGAUGAAAAUAAUUUCUUUUUACAAGAGUAAAAACUUCUGGAGGAUAUUUAGGAUAGAGAUUAGGAGUGACAGUGUAAGGGGUAAGAGAGGUAGAUGAUGAGGAAUAGGGUCGAUACAUCAUAAUUGGUCUAGGCCAAAAAAUUCUUUUAUAGGCGAAGACUUCUAGAUUUUCUUUGGGUCUAGAAAGUAGAUCAACAAGAACAUUUUGCUUUCCAGGUAUAUGUUUGACAUCAAAACUAUAUUCAGAAAACCAUUCUGCCCAUCUUAAAAGUUGUAGGUGAGGGACAGUUUUCUGUUUGAACUUGAGCAUUUGUGGAAAUGAAGACAUAUCCAUUUCUACCAAAAAAUGAUAACCUAGAAGAUAGAAUUUGAAUUUUGCCAUACCUUUCUUGACUGCAAGGAUCUCUUUGAAUGUGGAGUGGUAAUGAAUUUCUAGUUCUGAGAAUCUUCCACUCUUGUAUCCAUAGAGUUGUCUUUUGUCAUUUCUUUUUUCAAGCAAGAUUGCUCCCCAAUAUUUAUCACUGGCGUGUGUCUGUAGAAUUUUUUCUCCAUCUGAGGGGAUUUGAAGUGGAGGCAAAUCCUGGGUAAUUUCUUUCAAUUUUUGGAGGGCUUUUGUCUGAGAAGAAGACUAUGGAGGAGGGUCUUUUUUGAGUAGCUUUUGCAGGGGAUUAAUAUACUUAGAAACUUUAGGGAUAAAAUCUCUAAGAUAAUUAACAAUCCGAAUGAAUUGUUGGACCUGCUUGAAAGACAAAUCUUUUGAAGGAAAUUUAAGAAGUUCUUGAGUAAUGUGUGGUCCUGGAGAAUAUUUUCCUUCUUUGAUAUCCAUUCUGAGAAACUGAAUUUCUGAUUUGUUGAUCUGCAUUUUUUUUCUGACAGCAUUAUCCCAUAUUUGAAAAUAAGGGAUUUGAAUUCUUCAAGGAGUUAUGCAUGAGAAUCCACAUCUUUGCUGUAGAGCAGAAUGUCGUCGAUGUAUACUAAAGCAUUUUCCAUCAAAGGAUGAAAAAUCUUUAUCAUUGCUUUCUGGAAUAGAGAAGGAGCAAUCUUUAAUCCAAACGACAUGACUUUCCACUGAAAAUGUCCAUUAGGAAUACAAAAUCCUGUUUUUGGUCUGUCAUCAGGAUGAAUUCCUAAUUGCCAAAAACCUGCCUUGAGAUCAAACUUAGAGAAAACUCUUGCUUUGGCUAGACUUGAGAAGAGUAAGUCUUUCUUUGGAAGAGGAAAUUUGUCAUCUUAGAGGAAAUGAUUAAGAGGCUGAUAAUUAAUUACCAGUCUUAACUUUCCUCUGAUCUGUUCAGAUCUUUUAUUUACAUAAAAGGCUUCACAUGCCUAUUGAGAAUCUGAGGGUUUAGUCAAAUCUUGAUGCAGUAACUCUUUACAUUCCUUUUCUGCUAGCAUCAGAUGAUCUGGAUUCAUUCCCUGGUGGCUGGCCUUUGUUGGAUUGAUGUCUUUAUUUUUCUUGAAAGGGAGUUUAAUGAAGAAAUCUAGGUUUUUCCACAAAGGGUUUGAGCAUUUAUUCAGGAAUUCAGAAUGAGAUUCUGCACAAGAUUGGGCUUUUAAUUCUUGGAUAAUGUGAAGGAUUUUUUAGGUUAAAUGACAAAGUUUUGGGAUUCUAACAAAGGGUUGGAAAAGAUUUUGAAUCUUACUCAUUCAGGGAGUAUUCUAAGAUGCUGUGCUUUUUUGUAGAGGUCAAAGCCUACUACAAUAUCUUUUCCAAGGAGUUUUGAUCCCAAUACUGUGGUUUUCACACAACAGCUUGGGAAGAAUUGGAUAGUAAUUGGUUUGCUUAUCAUAUGAGUAGCAAAAGAAACAUCAGCAGCAGAAUCAAAAUACCUUAUGUGGGGUUUCCACCAUUCUGGAGGUAAAAUGUCUGCGUUCAUGAUUGUUUCUGCUGCGCCGGUGUCUAUGAAGGCAAUUAUAGUAAUGGGCUUACUAUAUUUGUCUAAAUAGAUCUUGACAGGUACAUGAGGAACUGGGACUGUGUUAAUGGUCCUGUCAAUAGUCUGAGUUUUGGCUUAUAUCAUCUGUAUAUCGGAAUAGUCCGAUUCUGGUUCUGAAGAAUCACAAGCAGGGAUGGCACAAAUCGUCUUGUCUGAUGGUUCAUCUUUAAUGGAGCAGACAGAUUCAAUAUCAUCAUUUUCUUGAACCUUUACUCCUGAUUGUUUUACUAUUUGUGCAAUCUUCUUGGCUUGUUUCUUGUUCUUUGGACAAUUUUUUGAAAAAUGUCCCUUUUGGUUACAGAUGUAGCAACUGUCAGAUUUUGUUGACUUUCUUUUUUUCUUAAGAUAUCUCCAUCAAUGCCUUACUUUCUUUCUUCUUCUUGAAAUUGGAAAAGAAGAAUGUUUUUUUGAAAUGUUUCUUCUUCUUUGUGCGGCAAUCACACAGAUGGUCCUUUGGGCAUUUGUACUUCAAGUGGGAAUCAUCGCAGGCUCUAUCAAUUCUUUUGUCACCAUGGAGAUAAUCUUUGAAAAUCAUUCUUCUGUUGCAGAUAUCUUCUAGAGCAACGAAGACUUCUUGUUGGAGUUCUCCAACAGUGAUCUGAAGAAUAUCUUUGUUCUGUGUCUGGAGGGCUUAAUUAACUGCAACUUAGAUUGGAUUUGGAAGAGAUGAGAGGAUAACUGGCUUGAGUUUUGGAUUUAGUCCCAAAGCAUAAUAUAGCUUGGUCAUUAUUUUGAAAUGUUUCUCCAAAUCUCUCUUGACAUACGAAUAACAUUUUCUUUUGUAGAAUUCUCUUCUUUUUAAUGUCAGCAAAUCUUGAGGGUUUCUCACAAAAUGUUGAUGUAUGAUUCUGAUUGGCUAGGCCAGAUCUUGAAGAACUAGAAACUGCAUUUGGUCAUGCUGAUUAAUGAAAUUCCACCAAUCUCUCAACAUUCAUGUAAAUCUAGAGACAAACUCCAUAAGAAUGUCGUAAUUGCCAUCUUCUGUAAGCUUGUGAGUUUCUAACCAAGAAUGAAAUUCUUGAAUUCUGUCUGGCCAUUUUGCUGGUGGCAAAUCAUCUAUAGUGAAAGUGGUUUUUCCUAUGGAAGACUUUGGAAUUUGUCUCUGAUCUGCAGAAGAUGAUUCUGGCAUGUCUUGCAUUUCAUCAUCACUUGGUUCUUCAACUUUAGUUGUUUGAAAUGCUUUCUGCAAUUCUUCAUCUUCUAAUUCCGUUUUUUCAUUCGAUGAGUAUUCAGACUCUUUAAAUGAUUCAUCUGAUGAAUCUGAACUUUCUCCUGAAUCAGCUUCAGAACAUGAUUCUGGGUUUUGUAUAGUUGAGAUCUUAGGAAUAGAAGAUUUUAUAUAAUCCUUUAAAAAUUUUGUUAAAGGAUUUUGAUCUUCAUGUUGAAUCAUUAGAGAUUUUGAGACUUUCUUUGGAGGAGGAGAUUUCGGUGGAGACUCCUCUGAGACUGGUCUUUUUUCCAGUUUUUUCUCCAUCUGAUAUGCUUUACUUUCACUGUCUGUUUUGGCUUCUUCAGUAGCCAUUUUCUUUUUUUCUGCUUCUUGUUUUUUUAUUUCCAGAAAAAUUUUAUACGUACUUGGUUUGGUAUGUUUUGAAACUUCUGGAAAGGUUACUCGUACUCCUUCUACUCAAGGUGGAUUCUUCUGUCUAAUAGAGGGAAACAAUUCAAUUGUUUCUACUCUAUGAGUUAGUCCAGGGAUUUUCCCUGUUUCUUGAAGAGUCUUGAUUUGUUCUUUCAAUUUUUGAAUUUCUUUCUCUUUGUGCAAGAUGAGAGAAGAAAUCUUGUCUUGGUGCUGCUGGUUGUUUAGCUACUGCGUCCAAUCUUUUUUGUAAAAGUUGGAUCAGAUCUCUGACCAUCUUGGUGUUUUCAUCUAACUUGGUUUCAACAAUUGAGAUCUUUGAAUCAAUUCUUUUUAGAACAUGAUUCUGAGCAAUAGCAUUUUCUGUUUGCCAAUUGAGAGGAGCUUCUGCAGCACUUAUUUUGGAUGGUGCACCCGAAAUAUCAGUCUGAAUCUUUGAAGGGAUUUUUGGUGCAUGAGUAUAACUCUUUUCAGAGUAUUCUUCAAGAGGUGGGAAAUCUUUAUCAUAUGAUGCUGUAGGUUGCAUCAUACACAGUGGAAAUUGGUUUUUGUGGAGCAAGAAAGUCUGGGUUCUUCUUAACCCAUUUGUUUAUUUUCUUGUAACAGGGCUGAGGAAAAGGUUUUGAUUUCUUGAGGAUUUUUGCAGGAGACUGAGUGGAUAAUUUUGGAGGAGGAGGAGAGGGAGGUUUACAAGGUUCAGGUGGAACCUGUCUAUUUGGUAAAGAUUUGUGGGAUGAAUAAUCAACAAGGUAAACAUAUUUACCAUUAUCCUCUCUAAGUGGUCCAAUGUCUGGAUCUCCAUCCAUCCACCUUUUGUAAAACUCGUCCUGAGUUGAAUUUUUCUUUUUCUAUUUCUUUUUUCCCGACUCUGAUGCAGUUUUGUCCAUGCUAUCAACCCAAGCGGCCAAUCUGUCAUCUGUGCAUAAUUCACAUGAACAGUUUAAAGCCCAAGGACAAUGUCCAGUAACAGGGUCUUUAAACAUGUAUAAAGGUUUUCCAUCUGCGGAAAAACUUUUUAUUAGGCUUCUUUUUGGGCCGGGUUCACACAAUGGACAACAAUAGUCUAGAUCAUCUUGAUCAUGAAGUUGUGCUGGUUCUUCGUUUGGUUGUAUCAUCAACUGGGUUGGGAAAAUGUUGGGAUUUUUAGAGCUGUGAAGAUGACUAUGAUCAAACUUGAUUUCAGUCGUUCCAAGACUUCAUUUUCAAGAGAUUUAUGAAUCCAGGAUGUAGGAAAAGAACUGAGCUGGGUUGUUUUUCCACAUUUGACAAAGUAUUGAGGCUUAUAAAAGAUUAUAAUCAUAAAACUUCCAUAAUUACCUCUUGCCUGAUUACAGUGUUGCUCAAUAAUUUGAAGCCAUUGUGGGAGAGGAUGGAACCAACUAAGGAAAGGAAAGAAAUUUUAUUGUUCUAGUUCCAUGUUUCUUGUGAUGCCUUUUUUCAAGUAAUAAACGAGAUCAAGGGUGUCGAACUGUAUGGCAAUAUGGUAAAGAUGGGUGAAGUACCAUAAAAACCAUUUUAAUUCAUUUGGUUUAACAAAUCUAAACCUUAUUGGGUGUAUGAAAGGAUAAUCUGGAUGAAUACCCCAAGGUUUAAGAAUAAGUCCCCCAAAAUUCUUAAAAACUUGAAUCUGAUACUCAAACAUCAUGUCUUUAGCUUUCUGAUGAAAACAGUUUCUUUCUACAAGAGUAAAAACUUCUGGAGGAUAUUCAGGAUGGAGAUUAGGAGUGAUAGUGUAAGGGGUAGGAGAGGUAGAUGAUGAGGAAUAGGGCCGAUACAUCAUAAUUGGUCUAGGCCAAAAAAUUCUUUUAUAGGCGAAGACUUCUGGAAUUUCUUUGGGUCUAGAAAGUAGAUCAGCAAGAACAUUUUGCUUUCUUGGUAUAUGUUUGACAUCAAAACUAUAUUCAGAAAACCAUUCUGCCCAUAUUAAGAGUUUUGGGUGAGGGACAGUUUUCUGUUUGAACUUGAGCAUUUGUGGAAAUGAAGAUAUCCAUUUCUACCAAAAAGUGAUAACCCAGCAGAUGGAAUUUGAAUUUUGCCAUACCUUUCUUGACUGCAAGGAUCUCUUUGAAUGUGGAGUGGUAAUGAAUUCUGCUUCUGAUAAUCUCCCACUCUUGUAUCCACAGAAUUGUCUUUUGUCAUUUCUUUUUUCAAGCAAGAUUGCUCUCCAAUAUUUAUCACUGGCAUCUGUCUGUAGAAUUCUUUCUCCAUCUGAGGGGAUUUAAAGUGGAGGCAAAUUUUGGGUAAUUUCCUUCAAUUUUUGGAGGGCUUUUGUCUAGGAAGAAGACCAUGGAGGAGGGUCUAUUUUAAGUAGCUUUUGCAGGAGAUUAAUAUACUUAGAAACUUUAGGGAUAAAAUCUCUAAGAUAAUUAACAAUCCCAAUGAAUUGUUGGACCUGCUUGAAAGAUAAAUCUUUUGAAGGAAAUUUGAGAAGUUCUUAAGCAAUGUGUGGUCCUGGAGAAUAUUUUCCUUCUUUGAUAUCCUUUUCGAGAAACUGAAUUUCUAAUUUGUUGAUCUGUAUUUUUCUUUCUGACAGCAUUAUCCCAUAUUUGAAAAUAAGGGAUUUGAAUUCUUCAAGGAGUUCUGCAUGAGAAUCCUUAUCUUUGCUAUAGAGCAGAAUGUCGUCAAUGUAUACUAAAGCAUUUUCCAUCAAAGGAUGAAAAAUAUUUAUCAUUGCAUUCUGGAAUAGAGAAGGAGCAGUCUUUAAUCCAAACGGCAUGACUUUCCACUAAAAAUGUCCAUUAGGAAUACAAAAUCCUGUUUUUGGUCAGUCAUCAGGAUGAAUUCCUAAUUGCCAAAAACCUGCCUUGAGAUCAAACUUAGAAAAAACUCUUGCUUUGGCUAGAUUUGAGAAGAGUAAGUCUUUCUUUGGAUGAGGAAAUUUGUCAUCUUGGAGGAAAUGAUUAAGAGGCUUUUAAUUAAUUACUGAUCUUAACUUUCCUUUGAUUUGUUCAGAUCUUUUAUUUACAUAAAAGGCUUCACAUGCCCAUUGAGAAUCUGAGGGUUCAAUCAAAUCUUGAUGCUGUAACUGUUUACAUUCUUUUUCUGCUAGCAUCAGAUGAUCUGGAUUCAUUCCCUGGUGGCUGGCCUUUGUUGGAUUGAUGUCUUCAUUUUUCUUGAAAGGGAGUUUAAUGAAGAAAUCUGGGUUUUUCUACAAAGGAUUUGAGCAUUUAUUCAGGAAUUCAGAAUGAGAUUCUGCACAAGAUUGGGCUUUUAAUUCCUGGAUAAUGUGAAGGAUUUUUUUAGGUUGGAUGAAAAAAAGUUUUGGGAUUCUGUCAAAGGGUUGGAAAAGAUUUUUGAAUCUUACUCCUUCAGGGAGUAUUCUAAGAUGCUGGGCUUUUUUGUAGAGGUCAAAGCCUACUACAAUAUAUUUUCCAGGGAGUUUUGAUCCCAAUACUGCGGUUUUCACACAACAGCUUGGAAAGAAUUGGAUAGUAAUUAGUUUGCUUAUCACAUGAGUAGCAAAAGAAACAUCAGUAGCAGAAUCAAAAUACUUUGUGGGGUUUUCACCAUUCUUGAGGUAAAACGUCUGGGUUCAUGAUGGUUUCUGCUGCGCCGGUGUCUAUGAAGGCAAUUAUAGUAAUGGGCUUACUAUUGUCUAAAUAGAUUUUGACAGGUACAUGAGGAACUAGGACUGUGUUAAUGUUCUGUCAAUAGUCUGAGCUUUGGCUUGUAUCAUCUGUAUAUCGGAAUAGUCCAAUUCUGGUUCUGAAGAAUCAAAAGCAGGGAUGGCACAAAUCGUCUUGUCUGAUGGUUCACCUUCAAUGGAGCAGACAGAUUCAAUAUCAUCAUUUUCUUGAAUCUUUACUCCUGAUUGUUUUACUAUUUGUGCAAUUUUCUUGGCUUAUUUUUUGUUCUUUGGAUAAUUUUUUGAAAAAUGUCCCUUUUGGUUACAGAUGUAACAAUGGUCAGAUUUUGUUGACUUUCUUUUCUUCUUAAGAUAUCUCCAUCGAGGUCUUACUUUCUUUCUUCUUCUUGAAGUUGGAAAAGAAGAUUGUUUUUUGAAAUGUUUCUUCUUCUUUGUGCGGCAAUUACACAGAUGGUCCUUUAGGCAUUUGUACUUCAAGUGGGAAUCAUCGCAGGCUCUAUCAAUUUUUUUCUCACCAUAGAGAUAAUCUUUGAAUAUCAUUCUUCUGUUGCAGAUAUCUUCUAGAGCAACAAAGACUUCUUGUUGGAGUUCUCCAACAGUGAUCUGAAGAAUAUCUUUGUUCUGUGUCUGGAGGGCUUGAUUAACUGCAACUUGGAUUAGAUUUGGAAGAGAUGAGAGGAUAAUUGGCUUGAGAUUUGGAUUUAGUCCUAAAGCACAAUAUAGCUUGGUCAUUAUUUUGAAAUGUUUUUCUAAAUCUCUUUUAACAUACGAACAACAUUUUCUUUUGUAGAAUUCCCUUCUUUUUAAUUUUAGCAAAUCUUGAGGGUUUCCCACAAAAUGUUGAUGUAUGAUUCUGAUUGUCUGGGCCAGAUCUUGAAGAACUAGAAACUGCAUUUGGUCAUGCUGAUUAAUGGAAUUCCACCAAUCUCUCAACAUUUCUGUAAAUCUGGAGAGAAACUCUAUAAGAAUGUUGUAAUUGCUAUCUUCAGUAAGCUUGCGAGUUUCUAACCAAGAAUGAAAUUCUUAAAUUCUGUCUGGCCAUUUUGGUGGCGGCAAAUCAUCUAUAGUGAAAGUGGUUCUUCCUAUGGAAGACUUUGGCAUUUGCCUCUGAUGUGCAGAAGAUAAUUCUGGCAUGUCUUGCAUUUCAUCAUCAUUUGAUUUUUCAACUUUAGUUUUUUGAAAUGCUUUUUGUAAUCCUUCAUCUUCUGAUUCUAUUUUUUCGUCUGAUGAGGAUUCAGACUCUUUAGAUGAUUCAUCUGAACUUUCUCCUGAAUCAGCUUCAGAACAUGAUUCUGGGUUCAGAACACGAUUCUAGGUUUUGUAUAGUUGAGAUCUUAGGAAUAGAAGAUUUUGUAUAAUCCUUUAAAAAUUUUGUUAAAGGGUUUUGAUCUUCUUGCUGAAUCAUUAGAGAUUUCGAGACUUGCUUUGGAGGAGGAGAUUUUGGUGGAGAUUCCUCUGAUACUUGUAUUUUUCCCAAUUUUUUCUCCAUCUGAUAUACUUCAAUUUCACUGUCUGUUUUGGCUUCUUCAGUAGCCUUUUUCUUCUUUUCUGCUUCUUGUUUUUUGAUUUCUAGAAAAAUUUCAUACGUACUUGGUUUGGUACAUUUUGGAACUUCUGGAAAGGUUAUUCGUACUCCUUUUGCUAGGGGUGGAUUCUUCUGUCUGAUAGAGGGAAACAAUUCAGGAGAAAGUUCAGAUUCAUCAGAUGAAUCAUCUAAAGAGUCUGAAUCCUCAUCAGACGAAAAAAUAGAAUCAGAAGAUGAAGAAUUGUAGAAAGCAUUUUAAACAACUAAAGUUGAAGAACCAAGUGAUGAUGAAAUGUAAGACAUGCCAGAAUCAUCUUCUGCACAUCAGAGACAAAUGCUAAAGUCUUCCAUAGGAAGAACUACUUUCACUAUAGAUGAUUUGCCGCCACCAAAAUGGCCAGACAGAAUUCAAGAAUUUCAUUAGAACAACAAAAUUUCUUUACUUUCCUUAGUUGGUUUCAUCCUCUCCCACAAUGGCUUCAAAUUAUUGAGCAACACUAUAAUCAGGCAAGAGGUAAUUAUGGAAGUUAUAUGAUUAUAAUCUUCUAUAAGCCUCAAUACUUUGUCAAAUGUGAAAAAGUAACCCAACUCAAUUCCUUCCCUACAUCCUGGAUUCAUAAAUAUCUUGAAAAUGAAGUCUUUAAAUAUGAUGUUCAAUAUCGAGAAGUACAAAAGUUUCUCUGCCAGCUCAAUAGGAUUAUUCCAUUUGAGAUAUGUCCACCUCCAGAUAUUGAUGCACCAUGGGACACCUGGCCAAAGACACACACACCUCAUCAUGAAGCAGUCCUAAAAGCUCUCCGUGAAUAUCAUGAUGGAAUCUCUGACCCCACAGAAUGUCUCAAGAUUACCCGUGGUAAUAUAGUCAAAUCAGUCUUGCUAAGAUAGAAUUGCAUGAUGAAAAGGAGAAAGCAAAAGACGAAGAAAUAACCUGCUGCAGUAAAGAUUCCAUGGAUAGUGCUCAGCUUCCCCAUUCAAAUGCAAACAGCUGAAAAUCACUUGUCAGUAAUGUUGCUUUAAAUAAUUAAAGUAUUUUGCUUUAUGUCAAAUAACGUCUAAUAGCAGUCUUGCUUUUACUUUAUGUACUGUUUACUUUAUGCUUUAAUGACUGAUGCUUAUCCAGAAUACUGUUUACUAUUUUGUUGUAUUACAUCUUCUUCAGCUAUAAAAGGAGGAUGUAUUCCCAUUGAAAAAACCACGAAGAAGUUCUAAAUAAAAAAAAAUUCAGUGUGUUUUCUCUACUUAUGGCUUUCUAAAGAUAUUUCUUUUUCUCUAAAUCGUCUUCCUCUUAGAAAACUUCAGAUGAGUUUACAAAGAAUUUACAAUAAAGUAUGCUCUAUGCUUGCCAUAUAAUAGACCCUGCACAUCAGAAAUAUUGAAAUUCUGAUCAACCAUACUUAUAUUGAUGUGGAUAACAUAUGCCUCUUGAAUUAAUGCUUUGUUGCUAAAAGGCAGUGCCUGUUAAAUGACCCGUGUGGAUGAAGGGUUUAAGUUUUGGCAUAGCAUACUUGCAAUAAACACAAGGAUUGCAAGAAAAAAAGAAUUGUUGCAGGUAUGCUAUGCCAAAACUUAAACCCUUCAUCCACACGGGUUAUUCAACAGGCACUACUUUUUAGCAACAAAGCCUUAAUUCAAGAGGCAUAUGUUAUCCACAUCAAUAUAAGUAUGGUUGAUCAUAAUUUCAAUAUUUCUGAUGUGCAGGGUCCAUUAUAUGGCAAGCACAGAGCACGCUUUAUUGUAAAUUCUUUGUAAACUCAUCUGAAGUUUUCUAAGAGGAAGAUGAUUUAGAGAAAAGGAAAUAUCUUUAGAAAGCCAUAAGUAGAGAAAACACUGAAUUUUUUUUAUUUAGAACUUUUUCGUGGUUUUUACAAUAGGAAUACAACCUCUUUUUAUAGCUGAAGGAGAUGUACAAUAAAAUAGUAAACAGUAUUCUGGAUAAGCAUCAGUCAUUAAAGCAUAAAGUAAACAGUACAUAAAGUAAAAGCAGGAUUGAUAUUAGACGUUAUUUGACAUAAAGAAAAAUACUUUAAUUAUUUAAAGCAAGAUUCCCGACAAGUGAUUUUCAGCUGUUUGCAUUUGAAUGGGAAAGCUGAGCACUAUCCAUGAAAUCUUCACUGCAGUAGGUUAUUUUUUUGUCUUUUACUUUCUCGUUUCCAUCAUGCAAUUCUAUCUUAGCAAGACUGAUUUGACUGUAUUGCCACGGGUAAUCUUGAGACCAUUCUGUGGGGCAGGGAUUCCUUCAUGAUAUUCAUGGAGAGCUGUUAGGACUGCUUCAUGAUAAGGUAUGUGUGUCCUUGGCCAGGUGUCCCAUGGUGCAUCAAUAUCUAGAGGUGGCCAUAUUUCAAAUAGAAUAAUCCUAUUGAGCUGGCAGAGAAACUUUUGUAAUUCUCAAUAUUGAACAUCAUCUUUGAAGAUUUCAUUUUCAAGAGAUUUAUGAAUCCAGGAUGUAGGGAAGGAAUUGAACUGGAUUGCUUUUCCACAUUUGACAAAGUAUUGAGGCUUAUAGAAGAUUAUAAUCAUAUAACUUUCAUAAUUAUCUCUUGUCUGAUUAUAGUGUAGCUCAAUAAUUUGAAGCCAUUGUGGGAGAGGAUGGAACCAACUAGGGAAAGUAAAGAAAUUUUGUUGUUCUGAUUCAAUGUUUCCUCUGAUGGCUUUUUUCAAGUAAUAAAGGAGAUCAGGGGUGUCGAACUGUAUGGCAAUAUGGUAGAGAUGGGUGAAGUACCAUAAAAACCAUUUUAAUUCAUUUGGUUGUUCAACAAAUCUAAACCUUAUUGGGUGUAUAAAAUGAUAAUCUGGAUGAAUACCCCAAGGUUUAAGAAUAAGUCCCCCAAAAUUCUUGAAAACUUGAAUCUGAUACUCAAACAUCAUGUCUCUAGCUUUCUGAUGAAAACAGUUUCUUUCUACAAGAGUAAAAAUUUCUGGAGGAUAUUCAGGAUGGAAAUUAGGAGUGACAGUGUAAGGGAUAGGAGAGGUAGAUGAUGAGGAAUAGAGUCGAUACAUCAUAAUUAGUCUAGGCCAAAAAAUUCUUUUAUAGGCAAAGACUUCUGGAUUUUUUUUGGGUCUGGAAAGUAGAUCAGCAAGAACAUUUUGCUUUCCUGGUACAUGUUUGACAUCAAAACUAUAUUCAGAAAACCAUUCUGCCCAUCUUAAGAGUUGUGGGUGAGGGACAGUUUUCUGUUUGAACUUGAGCAUUUGUGGAAAUGAAGACAUAUCCAUUUCUACCAAAAAGUGAUAACCAGAAGAUGGAAUUUGAAUUGUGCCAUACCAUUCUUGACUGCAAGGAUCUCUUUGAAUGUGGAGUGGUAAUGAAUUUCUAUUUCUGAGAAUCUCCAACUCUUGUAUCCACAGAGUUGUCUUUUGUCAUUUCUUUUUUCAAGCAAGAUUACUCCCCAAUAUUCAUCACUGGCAUCUGUCUGUAGAAUUCAUUCUCCAUCUGAGGGGAUUUGAAGUGGAGGUAAAUCUUGGGUAAUUUUCUUUAAUUUUUGGAGGGCUUUUGUCUGAGAAGAAGACCAUUGAGGAGGGUCUUUUUUGAGAAGCUUUUGCAGGGGAUUAAUAUACUUAGAAACUUUAGGGAUAAAAUCUCUAAGAUAAUUAACAAUCCCAAUGAAUUGUUGGACUUGCUUGAAAGACAAAUCUUUUGAAAGAAAUUUGAGGAGUUCUUCAACAAUGUGUGGUCCUGGAGAAUAUUUUCCUUCUUUGAUAUUCAUUCCGAGAAACUGAAUUUCUGAUUUGUUGAUCUGUAUUUUUCUUUCUGACAUCAUUAUCCCAUAUUUAAAAAUAAGGGAUUUGAAUUUUUCAAGGAGUUGUGCAUGAGAAUCCACAUGUAUACUAAAGUAUUUUCUAUCAAAGGAUGAAAAAUCUUUAUCAUUGCUUUCUGGAAUAGAGAAGGAGCAGUCUUUAAUCUAAACGGCAUGACUUUCCACUGAUAAUGUCCAUUAGGAAUACAAAAUCUUGUUUUUGGUCUGUCAUCAGGAUGAAUUCCUAAUUGCCAAAAACUUACCUUGAGAUCAAACUUAGAGAAAACUUUUGCUUUGGCUAGACUUGAGAAGAGUAUGUCUUUCUUUGGAAGAGGAAAUUUGUCAUCUUAGAGGAAAUGAUUAAGAGGCUGAUAAUUAAUUGCCAAUCUUAACUUUCCUCUGAUCUGUUUAGAUCUUUUAUUUACAUAAAAGGCUUCAUAUGCCCAUUGAGAAUUAGAGGGUUCAAUUAAAUCUUGAUGCUGUAACUCUUUGCAUUCUUUUUCUGCUAGCAUCAGAUGAUCUGGAUUCAUUCCCUAGUGGCUGGCCUUUGUUGGAUUGAUGUCUUCAUUUUUCUUGAAAUGGAGUUUAAUGAAGAAAUCAGGGUUUUUCCACAAAGGGUUUGAGCAUUUAUUCAGGAAUUCAGAAUGAGAUUCUGCACAAGAUUGGGCUUUUAAUUCCUGGAUAAUAUGAAGGAUUUUUUCAGGUUGGAUGACAAAAAGUUUUGGGAUUCUGACAAAGUGUUGGAAAAGAUUUUUGAAUCUUACUCUUUCAGGGAGUAUUCUAAGAUGCUGGGCUUUUUUGUAGAGGUCAAAGCCUACUACAAUAUCUUUUCUAGGGAGUUUUGAUCCCAAUACUGCGGUUUUCACACAACAGCCUGGGAAGAAUUUGAUAGUAAUUGGUUUGCUUAUCACAUGAGUACCGAAAGAAACAUCAGCUGCAGAAUCAAUAUACCUUAUGUGGGGUUUCCACCAUUCUGGAGGUAAAACGUCUGGGUUCAUGAUGGUUUCUGCUGCGCCGGUGUCUAUGAAGGCAAUUAUAGUAAUGGGCUUACUAUUGUCUAAAUAGAUCUUGACAGGUACAUGAGAAACUGGGACUGUGUCAAUGGUUCUGUCAAUAGUCUGAGCUUUGGCUUGUAUCAUCUGUAUAUCAGAAUAGUCCGAUUCUAGUUUUGAAAAAUCACAAGCAAGGAUGGCACAAAUCAUCUUGUCUGAUGGUUCAUCUUCAAUGGAGCAGACAGAGUCAAUAUCAUCAUUUUCUUGAAUCUUUACUCCUAAUUGUUUUACUAUUUGUGCAAUCUUCUUGGCUUGUUUCUUGUUCUUUGGACAAUUUUUUGAAAAAUGUCCCUUCUGGUUAUAGAUGUAGCAACGGUCAGAUUUUGUUGACUUUUUUUUCUUCCUAAGAUAUCUCCAUCGAGGCCUUACUUUCUUUCUUCUUCUUAAAGUUGGAAAAGAAAAAUGUUUUUUGAAAUGUUUCUUCUUCUUUGUGCGGCAAUCACACAGAUGGUCCUUUGGGCAUUUUUACUUCAAGUGGGAAUCAUCGCAGGCUCUAUCAAUUCUUUUGUCACCAUGGAGAUAAUCUUUGAAUAUCAUUCUUCUGCUACAUAUAUCUUCUAGAGCAACAAAGACUUCUUGUUGGAGUUCUCCAACAGUGAUUUGGAGAAUAUCUUUGUUCUGUGUCUGGAGGGCUUGAUUAACUGCAACUUGGAUUAGAUUUGGAAGAUAUGAGAGGAUAACUGGCUUGAGGUUUGGAUUUAGUCCCAAAGCAUAAUAUAUCUUGGUUAUUAUUUUGAAAUGUUUCUCCAAAUCUCUCUUGACAUACGAACAAUAUUUUCUUUUGUAGAAUUCUCUUCUUUUUAAUGUCAGCAAAUCUUGAGUGUUUCCCACAAAAUGUUGAUGUAUGAUUCUGAUUGGCUGGGCCAGAUCUUAAAGAACUAGAAACUACAUUUGGUCAUGCUGAUUAAUGGAAUUAUGAUUCUAAUUGGCUGGGCCAGAUCUUUAAGAACUAGAAACUGCAUUUGGUCAUGCUGAUUAAUGGAAUUCCACCAAUCUCUCAACAUUCUUGUAAAUCUGGAGACAAACUCCGUAAGAAUGUUAUAAUUGCUAUCUUCAGUAAGCUUCCGAGUUUCUAACCAAGAAUGAAAUUCUUGAAUUCUGUCUAGCCAUUUUGCUGGCGACAAAUCAUCUAUAGUUAAAGUGGUUCUUCCUAUGGAAGACUUUGGCUUUUGUCUCUGAUGUGCAGAAGAUGAUUCUGGCAUGUCUUGCAUUUCAUCAUCACUUGGUUCUUCAACUUUAGUUGUUUGAAAUGCUUUCUGCAAUUCUUCAUCUUCUGAUUUUAUUUUUUCGUCUGAUGAGGAUACAGACUCUUUAGAUGAUUCAUCUGAUGAAUCUGAACUUUCUCCUGAAUCAGCUUCAGAACAUGAUUCUGGGUUUUGUAUAGUUGAGAUCUUAGGAAUAGAAGAUUUUGUAUAAUCCUUUAAAAAUUUUGUUAAAGGAUUUUUAUCUUCUUGCUGAAUCAUUAGAGAUUUCGAGACUUGCUUUGGAGGAGGAGAUUUUGGUGGAGAUUCCUCUGAGACUGGUAUUUUUCCCAAUUUUUUCUCCAUCUUAUAUACUUCAAUUUCACUGUCUGUUUUGGCUUCUUCAGUAGCCUUUUUCUUCUUUUCUACUUCUUAUUUUUUGAUUUCUAGAAAAAUUUCAAACGUACUUGGUUUGGUACGUUUUGGAACUUUUGGAAAGGUUAUUCGUACUCCUUCUGCUGAGGGUGGAUUUUUCUGUCUGAUAGAGGGAAACAAUUCAAUUGUUUCUGCUCUAUGAGUUGGUUCAGGGAUUUUCCCUGUUUCUUGGAGAGUCUUGUUUUGUUCUUUCAAUUUUUGAAUUUCUUUCUCUCUUUGUGCAAGAUGAGAGAAGAAAUCUUGUCCUGGUGCUGCUGGUUGUUUAGCUACUGCGUCCAAUCUUUUUUGUAAAAGUUGGAUCAGAUCUCUGACCAUCUUGGUGUUGUCAUCUAACUUGGUUUCAACAAUUGAGAUAUUUGAAUCAAUUCUUUUUAGAAUAUGAUUCUGAGCAAUAACAUUUUCUGUUUGCCAAUUGAGAGUAGCUUUUGCAGCACUUAUUUUGGACGGUUCACCCAAAAUAUCAAUCUAAAUUUUUGAAUGGAUUUUUGGUGCAUGAGUAUAACUCUUUUCAGAGUAUUCUUUAAGAGGUGGGAAAUCUUUGUCAUAUGAUGCUGUAGGUUGCAUCAUACACACAGUGGAAAUUGGUUUUUGUGGAGCAAGAAAGUCUGGGUUCUUCUUAACCCAUUUGUUUAUUUUCUUGUAACAGGGCUGAGGAAAAGGUUUAGAUUUCUUGGGGAUUUUUACGGGAGACUGAGUGGAUGAUUUUGGAGAAGGAGGAGAGGGAGGUUUACGAGGUUCAAGUGGAACCUGUCUAUUUGGUAAAGAUUU
rnacentral:lncRNA from 1 species